ACAGGAAGAUAAACGGCGCGACGUGCCAGGUAUUGGAGAAAGAGGGAGAGAAGAAUAAACAUGCUGUUGACAAGAACAGCAGAUGACGAGCAGAGAAAACCAAGUUUAUCGUCGAGGUGAUUAAAGUUGUAGACCUGCAUACUUUAAGUGUUGGCACAACUAUUAUUUAGCAGAGUUCUGUCUUGUGAUCAUUGCAGUUUAGCAUCUCACUAUACUGAAGUUCAAAGUGAAGUGCAGCUAAGCAAGCGGCUAGCCGCGGUUAUUGUUUUUUUACUAGCUUGAAAAAGUCUAGGCGUGGACUCAAACGUGGAAAUUUUAGCACGUAUUGAUAUCAGAGACACUUAGUUAUAAACGCCAGCCGCCACUUUCACUGAGGAGGACCGGGAAAGCUGAGGACUUUGCUGGAGGACCUUGCAUGCUAAUUAGCCUGUUGCUACCGCUGUGACGAGGGACUCCGCCGCUGAACUUGCGUGGACACACUGAGGACACUUGUUGCAUCUCUGUUGCUGCUUCAUCUUCACCGUCAAGACUUCAGACCUGCUUUGUGUCUGCAUCCUGGAGUUGGCUUUUUGGACUCCCGUCAAACUUCAUAAGCAGGAUCCAGAGUUCUUUCCAGAGGUCUCUCCAAACUCCAGCUCAUCCAUCACUGUGAUCUCUAUUAUGGAGCGAGCUCCCUGCCGUGGUCAAGGACCGUGAUAACAAGACAGCGUAGAAACAGAUGUGUGUAAAGGUGAACCGAGUGCACGCUGGAAGUGGAAAAGUGUGCUGUUUUUGAAGGUGUGAAAGAAAUGCAAUGCUGGGGCAUCUUUUCGGUCCAAUUCCACAAUUCCACACAGCAGUCUAUGGUUCAACUCCAGGAUGUGUUGUUUGCCUGGGAAAUGAUGCACUGGGGGACAGAGGAGCCAAUUUGCAAGUUCCAGGACUGAGACCAGGGGUGUCAAACAUGCGGUGCUCCAGAGGGUCCAAUCCGGCCCUCAAUGUGUAGAAAUUACAGAGAAAACAUUAACUGCAAAUUGUGAAUUUGUAGAAGUAUAAAUUUAAAAUAAUUUCGUGACCAUGACACGUUGUUUUGAUCAUGAAGUAAAAUACUGAAUUGUUCAUUGUUCUUUUGCAUCUUAUUUUUGCAAUAAUUUGUCUUGUUUUGUUGUUUUUUUCUCUUUUUUUAUCUGACUUAUGUCAUUUGUCUCAUGUUUUUGUCAUUUUGUUUCCUUUUUGUCUUGCUUGUGUUUUUGUCUUAUUUUUUGUCAUCUUGUGUUCUGCUUUAUUCAUUGUUUUGUCUGUCUUUGUGAUUUUUUGUCUCAUUUUUGUCAUUUGUCCAUUUUUUUGCUGCUUUGUAACAUUUUUGUGUAAUUUUCUGUCUCUUUUGUUUUGCUUUAUGUCGUUUGUCUCAUUUUCUGUCAUCUUGUUUAAGCUUUUGUUAUUUUGUGUCUCAUUUUUGUCAUAUUUUGUCUUGUUUUUCUUGCUUUUUGUCUUUUUUUCUCUGACUUUAGUUGUUUUGAUCAUAAAGUAAAAUACUGUUUUCAGUUCCAGAUACCUGAGACUGAAUGUUGUGUUCCAUUGUAGACACUCUGAUCUGUAAGUUGCAACGUGUAAAUGAUAAACUGAGGCUGAAUGUUGAUGAAAUUAAACUUAUCUUUCUUCAGAAA